AUCAAGUGACGGAAAUAUGAUCGU
rnacentral:siRNA from 1 species